rnacentral:lncRNA from 1 species
UUCCCUGGACAUCUUUCUUUUCCCAUACAACCCCUGAUUGGAUGAGCCAAGGGAAGUCCUACUGUCUCUUCGGUGCAUUGCAAAACAAACAAGCAAGGAAACAAACAAGCAAACAAAACAAACUACUUCCAAAGGACAGAGAAAGGGAACACUGGGUUUUCAGGCGUGUAAGUCCUGUAACCAUCACAUAGUUCUCUGUGUUUUUCAUUUUGGUUUGAAGAAUGCUACAAGGCCCACUGUCAAGUAAGAAUUAACAUCUUUUCUCUCUCCUUCUCUUUGGCAGCUUUGGGCAGGAAAAUAACAACCACUAUAUACAGACAGGAUACAUUUAAGGGUUAUUACCUGUAGACUCUUUAUAUAUUCAGGUGUAAAUUAUCUUCCCCUUUCCAUUUAUUACAUCCUUAACCCAGAGAAGGAAUUAUCUGCAUGGAGAUUGCAACAGCAUCUGCUUCCAUUCGUGCAAAUGCCACAGUUACAAGCAGGAGCAACUGAAACAAGGAUUUGAAAUUAAAUAAAAUAAGCUAAUCUGUAUUUUUAGCUCCCUUUAGAAGGCUGAGACCAGAGGAAAGGAUUGGAAAUAUAUCUACCAAUAUGCCUUCAAGGAAAAAUAACAGAAAACCCAACUCAAAUUGGCUUAAACAAGAAAGAAACUUUUUUUGACCUGCUUAACUGAAAAGUCUAAAGGAUCAAGCGAACUUCAGGAAAUGGCAGGUGGAGGAGCUGCUUCUGCCAGCUGGAUCUGCAAUUCGGACAGCACGAAGAGCAUGGAAACGGGGCCAUUACCCAGUUUGCUAAAUUAAAGAAGGCAACCAGUCUCGGCAGGCCAUCAGCUCCACACAGUCACUGCCCUACUGUACAUGCCAACGACCCAUCUGAGGGAUCAGCUUCCCUUUGCUCCCCAAACGAGAGCCUCUGCUCUUGGGCACCUCAGAGAUGCGUGUGUGUGUGUGUGUGUGUGUGUGUGUGUGUGUGUGUGCGCGUGUGUGUGCAUGCAGACUAUUUGGAAAUUCGCUUUUAGAUGGAUUAAUGCUCGGUAAAGCUCUCAUGUUUCUCCAAAGUAUAUCCAGUGAGUAACAGUAGUAUUUUCAAUCAAUAGUAUUGCUUGCUAAAAUAACAGAUCUACAAUAAAGCCUUCUA